rnacentral:rRNA from 1 species
UACGGAGGGUGCGAGCGUUGUCCGGAAUCACUGGGCGUAAAGGGCGCGUAGGCGGCGCGGUAAGCACGCGGUGAAAGCCCGGGGCUCAACCCCGGGUCGGCCGUGCGGACUGCCGCGCUGGAGCACUGUAGAGGCGGGCGGAAUUCCGGGUGUAGCGGUGGAAUGCGUAGAUAUCGAGAGGAACACCUGCGGCGAAGGCGGGUUGCUGGGCUGAUACUGACGCUGAGGCGCGAAAGCCAGGGGAGCGAACGGG